UGACCUCGGAUCAGGUAGGAAUACC
rnacentral:rRNA from 1 species